UCAACUUAGUAUAGAAUGGUAAGUACGUGAGAUUGUAAAUCUUAAGGUGAGUUAAGUCAGUUGAA
rnacentral:tRNA from 1 species